rnacentral:tRNA from 4 species
CUUUUAAAGGAUAGAAGUAAUCCACUG